rnacentral:tRNA from 1 species
GGGUCGUUAACUCAGCCGGUAGAGUAUCUCCCUUUUAAGGAGAGAGUCGAGUGUUCGAAUCACUCACGACCCACCA